rnacentral:lncRNA from 1 species
CUGCAGCCGCCAGCCACCAAUCGCCAUUUUGGAAAAUAUUGCAUCAUUCAUUAUUAUGCGCACAUGCAUCGAAUGGGGGCCUGGUGUGACAAUUACAAAAUAUGCAAAAUAUGUCUUUGAGCAUGGUCUUAGACGACUGUCUAUUUGCUUCCCCAAUACAAACUUCAUUUAUUUUUGUGUGACCACAUAUAAUGAACAGUAUACAUUAUAUUAUGGGAGCAAUUAUAAGUGCUUUUUUACGUUUUCGUGAAAUUCGCAAAAUUUUACUGUUAUGUGAAAUUUUUUACUGUUACUGUUAAAUUACUAAAAUAUCUAAUGUUUACUGUUUUGGGCACCACCCCAUCUAGACCCUCCUGUUGGUAUGAAUAACUUUUCCUAAAAAAACCCGCCGAGCUCAAGAUUUAUUGCGGGCACAUGUCCUGUAUUUCUGGCCAUGGAAGUAAAAUACUUAAUAGCUUGAAAAAAAUUAUCAGCGUCAUCUUCGAAAUCAAACUCAUGAAACGCUUUAUUGAUGACGUCAUAUUCUCGUUCAUUCUUUUCAACCUUUAACAACAGUUCAUUCAAGUCGUUUGAUUGCUGCAAGAAUCGAUCUCUUCUAGUAUAACGCAGGUCGUCGGCGAUCUCCUUAGCAAUUUGUUUUGUCACAAUAACUGUGAUUUCUUUCAGCAAUAGCUUGAGAGCAGUAGGAGCUAGACCAACACCAAUCAUUGCAGCGACUUUAUCUCCUUCUUCCAGAGUUCCGAACACCGCUUUGAUAGUUGU